rnacentral:misc_RNA from 1 species
GAACUGCGAUAAGUAAUGUGAAUUGCAGAAUUCAGUGAAUCAUCGAGUCUUUGAACGCACAUUGCGCCCCCUGGCAUUCCGGGGGGCAUGCCUGUCCGAGCGUCAUUGCUGCCCUUCAAGCCCGGCUUGUGUGUUGGGUCGUCGUCCCCUCCGGGGGACGGGCCCGAAAGGCAGCGGCGACACCGCGUCCGGUCCUCGAGCGUAUGGGGCUUUGUCACCCGCUCGAUAAGGACCGGCCGGGCGCCAGCCGGCGUCCCCAACCUUUUUUUCUCAGGUUGACCUCGGAUCAGGUAGGGAUACCCGCUGAACUUAAGC